AGCCUUUAGCAACAACAGUAUUAAAGGUGAUGCCUGCCCAGUGAAUUACUUAAACGGCCGCGGGAUCCUCCACCGUGCAAAGGUAGCAUAAUCACUUGUCUCCUAAAUAGAGACUAGUAUGAAUGGCCAAAUGAGGAUUUACCUGUCUCCUGUAGAUAAUCUAUGAAACUAAUUUUCCAGUACAAAAGCUGGGAUUUUCCCAUAAGACGAAAAGACCCUGUGGAACUUUAUAAACGGAGACCACCCAACACAUGGUCAACCCGCUUUCAGUUGGGGCAACUAUGGAAAUAAACAAAACUUCCACACCACCUCACCAGGUGGACACACCCAUUCUUCUCCCCUUCAGACCCAGUAUGUAACUGAAAAAAGAACCAAGCUACCCCAGGGAUAACAGCGCCAUCCCCUCCUAGAGCCCCCAUCGACGAGGGGGUUUACGACCUCGAUGUUGGAUCAGGGCCCCCAAACAGUGCAGCAGCUGUUAAUGGUUUGUUUGUUCAACAACUAAUGCCCU
rnacentral:rRNA from 1 species